AGAGAUUAAAAAAUGAGACUAACUUCAUGCAAACUCAAAAUCAUAUUCAUAACACAAUACAACAAGAAUUUAAUGUAACGAUAACCCCGAAAACAAUAAAAUAUUUGGAAAGAAAUUUUCUGUCAAACUUCAAAACCAAAUAAAAUUGUCAAAAUCAUACAACUAACACUAAACAAAGUGUGUACUAAAAUUUCUCAUACUCUUGCUUCCAAGUGCAGCCUUAAUGUAAUUUUCUAAACAAGAUUGCACUACAUUUUUCACCUGUUCUCGCUUUUUCAUUAGCAAAGCAUGUACACCAUAAAAAAUUAAGUCAUCCUAGUUACAAAUCUAGUUCAGAAAAUAGGAACAAAAAAUAGAAAGGGGAAAUUAAUGGAACAAAUCAAUAUUUUUCUUAGACUUAAAAAUCAAACAAACUAAAUAAAAUUCUACCCAAUGUUAGACGGAAAAUGCUUGAAAAUCUCAAUUUUUUUUUAAAACUUGAAUAUGGCCACUUAAUAAAUCGAAACUCUACAUAUGAAUUUUUUCCCCUCAACUUCAAAUUACACCAACCAUAACACAAAUAAACCACAAAUUAUUCAAAACAUUUAAAUAUAAAAAAAUGAAAAUGAUAUUUACCUCGAUUUGAAGUUGGAGCCAAAAACGAACUGUCGAAUAUUGAAUUUGAAAUGUUCUUCGACUGGGUGUGGUUAUCGAUCGUGAGAUGGGGAAGUGGUUAUUGUGGGAUGAAAAUUCUUCAAAUUCUUCUUCACCAUUUUGUGUGAAUUGGAUUUAGAAAGUCGG
rnacentral:lncRNA from 1 species